GUGCCAGCAGCCGCAGGUAAUACGUAGGGUGCGAGCGUUGUCCGGAAUUACUGGGCGUAAAGAGCUCGUAGGUGGUUUGUCGCGUUGUUCGUGAAAUCUCACGGCUUAACUGUGAGCGUGCGGGCGAUACGGGCAGACUAGAGUACUGCAGGGGAGACUGGAAUUCCUGGUGUAGCGGUGGAAUGCGCAGAUAUCAGGAGGAACACCGGUGGCGAAGGCGGGUCUCUGGGCAGUAACUGACGCUGAGGAGCGAAAGCGUGGGGAGCGAACAGGAUUAGAUACCCUGGUAGUCCACGCCGUAAACGGUGGGUACUAGGUGUGGGUUUCCUUCCUUGGGAUCCGUGCCGUAGCUAACGCAUUAAGUACCCCGCCUGGGGAGUACGGCCGCAA
rnacentral:rRNA from 1 species